rnacentral:rRNA from 1 species
UGGGGAAUUUUGGACAAUGGGGGAAACCCUGAUCCAGCCAUCCCGCGUGUGCGAUGAAGGCCUUCGGGUUGUAAAGCACUUUUGGCAGGAAAGAAACGUCGCGGGUUAAUACCCCGCGAAACUGACGGUACCUGCAGAAUAAGCACCGGCUAACUACGUGCCAGCAGCCGCGGUAAUACGUAGGGUGCAAGCGUUAAUCGGAAUUACUGGGCGUAAAGCGUGCGCAGGCGGUUCGGAAAGAAAGAUGUGAAAUCCCAGAGCUUAACUUUGGAACUGCAUUUUUAACUACCGGGCUAGAGUGUGUCAGAGGGAGGUGGAAUUCCGCGUGUAGCAGUGAAAUGCGUAGAUAUGCGGAGGAACACCGAUGGCGAAGGCAGCCUCCUGGGAUAACACUGACGCUCAUGCACGAAAGCGUGGGGAGCAAACAGGAUUAGAUACCCUGGUAGUCCACGCCCUAAACGAUGUCAACUAGCUGUUGGGGCCUUCGGGCCUUGGUAGCGCAGCUAACGCGUGAAGUUGACCGCCUGGGGAGUACGGUCGCAAGAUUAAAACUCAAAUGAAUUGACGGGGUCAUAGCUGUUUUCCU